UACGGAGGGAGCUAGCGUUGUUCGGAAUUACUGGGCGUAAAGCGCGCGUAGGCGGCUUUGUAAGUUAGAGGUGAAAGCCCGGGGCUCAACCCCGGAACUGCCUUUAAGACUGCAUCGCUUGAAUCCAGGAGAGGUGAGUGGAAUUCCGAGUGUAGAGGUGAAAUUCGUAGAUAUUCGGAAGAACACCAGUGGCGAAGGCGGCUUACUGGUCCGGAACUGACGCUGAGGUGCGAAAGCGUGGGGAGCAAACAGG
rnacentral:rRNA from 1 species